rnacentral:rRNA from 1 species
UACAGAGACUGCAAGCGUUAUUCGGAUUCACUGGGCGUAAAGGGUGCGCAGGCGGCCGUGUGUGUGAGGCGUGAAAGCCUGGAGCUUAACUCCAGAAUUGCACCUCAAACUACAUGGCUAGAGCAUUGGAGAGGGUAGCAGAAUUCACGGUGUAGCAGUGAAAUGCGUAGAUAUCGUGAGGAAUACCAGAGGCGAAGGCGGCUACCUGGACAAUUGCUGACGCUCAGGCACGAAAGCAUGGGGAGCAAAAGGG